rnacentral:rRNA from 1 species
CCUACGGGAGGCAGCAGUGAGGGAUAUUGCGCAAUGGGCGAAAGCCUGACGCAGCGACGCCGCGUGGGCGAGGAAGGCCUUCGGGUUGUAAAGCCCUUUUGGCAGGGAAGAGCAAGGACUGUACCUGCAGAACAAGUCACGGCUAACUACGUGCCAGCAGCCGCGGUAAGACAGAGGUGGCAAGCGUUGUUCGGAUUUACUGGGCUUAAAGGGCGUGUAGGCGUUCUGAUAAGUUAGAUGUGGAAUCCCCGAGCUUAACUCGGGAAUUGCAUCUAAAACUGUCAGGAUUGAGUCAUACAUGGGAGGGCGAAAUUCCUGGUGUAGGGGUAAAAUGCGUAGAUAUCAGGAGGAGGGCCGGUGGCGAAGGCGGCCCUCUGGGUAAUGACUGACGCUGAGGCGCGAAAGCGUGGGGAGCAAACAGGAUUAGAUCCCCCUGUAGU